AUUGAACGCUGGCGGCAGGCCUAACACAUGCAAGUCGAACGAGCGACGGACGGGUGAGUAAUGUAUGGGGACUGUCCGUUACAGAGGGAUCACUACUGGAAACCAUGUCUAAACCCGCAUACUGUGCGAUUACCCAUUUGGGAUUGGCUAGUAGGUAAGGUAAUGGCUUACCUAGGCGACGACCCCUAGCUGGUCUGAGAGGAUGAUCAGCCACACUGGGACUGAGACACGGCCCAGACUCCUACGGAGGCAGCAGUGGGGAAUAUUGCACAAUGGGCGAAAGCCUGAUGCAGCCAUGCCGCGUGUAUGAAGAAGGCCCUAGGGUUGUAAAGUACUUUCAGUCGGGAGGCGUUACCGAAAGAAGAAGCACCGGCUAACUCCGUGCCAGCAGCCGCGGUAAUAC
rnacentral:rRNA from 1 species